AUACGGAGGACGCGAGCGUUAUCCGGAUUCAUUGGGUUUAAAGGGUGCGCGGCGGCCGUGCAAGUCAGCGGUGAAAGCCCGGGGCUCAACCCCGGAAGUGCCGUUGAUACUGCAUGGCUGGAAUGCGGUCGAGGCGGGCGGGACGUGGCGUGUGGCGGGGAAAUGCGUAGAUAUGACACAGAAACCCGAUAGCGGAGUCACCGCGCCGGGCCGGGAUUGACGCUCGGGCUCGAAGGCGUGGGGAUCGAACAGGAUUAGAUACCGUGGUUGUCCACGCCGUAAACGAUGGGCGCUCGUCGUCGGCGGCAGACAGUCGGCGGCCAAGCGAAAGCGAUAAGCGCCCCACCUGGGGAGUACGGUCGCAAGGCUGAAACUCAAAUGAAUUGACGGGG
rnacentral:rRNA from 1 species